rnacentral:rRNA from 1 species
GACGAACGCUGGCGGCGUGCUUAACACAUGCAAGUCGAACGGGCCCGCUCUCUUUUUUGGGGGUGGGUUGAGUGGCGAACGGGUGAGUAUCACGUGAGUAACCUGCCCCCUGCUCCUGGAUAACUGCUUGAAAGGGCGGCUAAUACGGGGUGUGCCGGCUGGUCCGCAUGGGCCUGGUCGGGAUAGUUUCAUCUUCGGGUGUUUCGGUGGGGGAUGGGCUCGCGGCCUAUCAGCUUGUUGGUGGGGUGAUGGCCCACCAAGGCGGUGACGGGUAGCCGGCAUGGGAGGGUGGGCGGCCACAGUGGGACUGAGACACGGCCCAGACUCCUGCGGGAGGCAGCAGUGGGGGGUAUUGCACAAUGGGCGGAAGCCUGAUGCAGCGACGUCGAGUGAGGGAUGGAGGCCUUCGGGUUGUGAACCUCUUUCUCCGGUGGUGAAGGCCCUGUCCGUUGCGGCGGGGUUGACGGUAGCCGGGUAUGAAGCGCCGGCUAACUACGUG